CCUUUAACCCUUAAAUGCAUAAUGAUGUAUAUAUGCAUCGUAUAUUUGAUGGUCCGUGGCUCAAUAUGCAGCUAUCCAAAAUCACAUUUAUUACUUUUAUUUAAUAAAUGUGACGUUUACGUGUUAGAUUCUGAACGCACCCAUAAACUUUUGAUAGUUUUUUUUUCUGUAGUGUCAUAUUUUCAAUCUUUGGCGCGUAAGUUGCUACACUGGUUGCCGCGAAAUUUACAAGUUCAAAAUUUAUUGAUAAAUAUUAAUAAGAACUGCAAGUAAAAUUUAUUUCUGAAAAGGAUAAAAGGUAAGUGUAAUGUAUAUUAUUAACAGGUUUGAUAAUAAUAGUAUAGUUUUCCGAAAAUUUGUGUUUUAUAUGUGAUGCGUAAAUACAUCACCAUGCAAAAUCGGUUGUAUUAGAAUUUACUUUAUUGUUUCGUUCUUUGUAUAGUCAUUGAAAAGUUUUAGAAUAAUUUUCUUAUAAAUUGGCAUCCGUGGCCAUAAAGUAAAAAGUCCCUUUAAAGUACAUAUAGUAUAAUAUUAAAUUUAUACUAAAAGUUUCAUAGUGGAAUUACAAUUAGGUACCUACUUAGGAAGAUAGCCGAUGGGAAAAACUGCACGUUAUGAUAAAAAACAAAAACUAAGAGUGGAAAUACCUUGUCCAAAAAUUGUGAAAGAAUAUAACAUGCAUAUGGGUGGUGUGGACCUAAUGGAUAGCUAUUUAGGCCGCUAUAGCGUCAGGGUCAAGAGCCGUAAAUGGGACUUACGAUUAUUUUAUCACGUUUUGAACUUGGCCGUAAUAAAUUCCUGGAUCUUAAUGAAGAAGAAUUGCAUUGCAAAGGGUGUUCCUCAGAAACAACUAUCGAAUCUUGGUCAAUUUCGCAAUGAAUUAGCUGAUGUCCUUUGCAAUAUUGGAUUAACUUACGGCAUCAAAAGAGGACGUCCAAGUAAUGCUUCCAUCGAAGAACAAUUACAAGCCAAGAAACGAAAAGGUACUAGUCAUCCUCUUCCAAGCGUAGAUGUAAGAAAAGAUGGCGUUGAUCACUGGCCUAUGAUUGCUACUCGUCUUAGGUGCAAAAUACCUAGUUGCAACGGGACAACAUCUUGGUCUUGCUCAAAAUGUAAUGUGCCUCUUUGUUUGAAUCCAAGAAAUAACUGUUUUACAUAUUUCCAUCAAUAAUAUUAUGUAGAAAACUCCAGUGAGUCUCAAACAUGUUCAUUAUUAUUAAACGGGUCACUUUGCCAAAAGUAGCUCAACCUGUUUAGGGUUUAUUUCGAAAAACUUAGUCAUGAGCAUUCGGCCGGAUUCAGAUUCGCAAAGCUACAUUGUUCUGUGAACGGGAAAGACAUAGGUAUAUAAUUAUUAAAUUUUCUGUUUGCCCAAAGGUUGACUGGUGGAGAAUGCUAUUUGGGGUGAAGUCUACCUGUUGUACGUUAAGUUAUUUGUUUUGUGCUAAUUUAAAUUUAAAUAAGAGAUACGAGAACAAAUGUAAUAAUAAAUUGCAGAUUAUAAUUUUACUGUUAAAUAUGUAAUCUUUAGCGUUUAGACGUUAAUGCAUAGUGAUGUAUAUAUGCAUCAAGUCUUUUUCGGAAAAAAUAUAUGUUUUUUUAAA